rnacentral:tRNA from 1 species
GGUGCGAUAGUUCAGUUGGUUAGAAUACCGGCCUGUCACGCCGGGGGUCGCGGGUUCAAGCCCCGUUCGCACCG